rnacentral:tRNA from 1 species
AACUACUAAGUUUAAAACACUUGUUUUGAAAGCAAUAUCGGGGCAACAGCCCAGUAGUUU